AACGAACGCUGGCGGCAGGCUUAACACAUGCAAGUCGAGCGCCCCGCAAGGGGAGCGGCAGACGGGUGAGUAACGCGUGGGAACGUGCCCUUUGGUUCGGAACAACUCCGGGAAACUAGAGCUAAUACCGGAUAAGCCCUUACGGGGAAAGAUUUAUCGCCAAAGGAUCGGCCCGCGUCUGAUUAGCUAGUUGGUGAGGUAACGGCUCACCAAGGCGACGAUCAGUAGCUGGUCUGAGAGGAUGAUCAGCCACACUGGGACUGAGACACGGCCCAGACUCCUACGGGAGGCAGCAGUGGGGAAUAUUGGACAAUGGGCGAAAGCCUGAUCCAGCAAUGCCGCGUGAGUGAUGAAGGCCUUAGGGUUGUAAAGCUCUUUUACCAGGGAUGAUAAUGACAGUACCUGGAGAAUAAGCUCCGGCUAACUCCGUGCCAGCAGCCGCCGUAAAAC
rnacentral:rRNA from 1 species